rnacentral:rRNA from 1 species
UACGUAGGGCGCAAGCGUUAUCCGGAAUUAUUGGCGUAAAGAGCUCGUAGGCGGUUUGUCGCGUCUGCCGUGAAAGUCCGGGGCUCAACUCCGGAUCUGCGGUGGGUACGGGCAGACUAGAGUGAUGUAGGGGAGACUGGAAUUCCUGGUGUAGCGGUGAAAUGCGCAGAUAUCAGGAGGAACACCAGUGGCGAAGGCGGUUACCUGGAGCUUUGCUGACGCUGAUGCGCGAAAGCGUGGGGAGCGAUCCGG